AUUGAACGCUGGCGGAAUGCUUUACACAUGCAAGUCGAACGGUAGAGGGGGCAACCCCUUGAGAGUGGCGAACGGGUGAGUAAUGUAUCGGAACGUGCCCAGUCGUGGGGGAUAACGUAGUGAAAAUUACGCUAAUACCGCAUACGAUCUAUGGAUGAAAGCGGGGGAUCGCAAGACCUCGCGCGAUUGGAGCGGCCGAUAUCAGAUUAGGUAGUUGGUGGGGUAAAGGCUCACCAAGCCAACGAUCUGUAGCUGGUCUGAGAGGACGACCAGCCACACUGGAACUGAGACACGGUCCAGACUCCUACGGGAGGCAGCAGUGGGGAAUUUUGGACAAUGGACGCAAGUCUGAUCCAGCCAUUCCGCGUGCAGGACGAAGGCCUUCGGGUUGUAAACUGCUUUUGUACGGAACGAAAAAGCUCUUAUUAAUACUAGGAGUCCAUGACGGUACCGUAAGAAUAAGCACCGGCUAACUACGUGCCAGCAGCCGCGGUAAUACGUAGGGUGCAAGCGUUAAUCGGAAUUACUGGGCGUAAAGCGUGCGCAGGCGGUUACAUAAGACAGAUGUGAAAUCCCCGAGCUUAACUUGGGAACUGCAUUUGUGACUGUAUAGCUAGAGUACGGCAGAGGGGGAUGGAAUUCCGCGUGUAGCAGUGAAAUGCGUAGAUAUGCGGAGGAACACCGAUGGCGAAGGCA
rnacentral:rRNA from 1 species